CCACCAUGGCAACAGUGGCUCCCUGGCAACCGGCGGGAGGAGAGAGACUCAGGGGUGGGGUCCGAUGGGACGUCGAGUCUCCUGCGGCUGCCAGGCCCCGGAAGCGUGCGGGAAGGGAACUGUGGCUGGGCUACGAGGGGACGGGUCCUUGGCACUGUGAUGGCGGUGUGAGGCCACUGGAUCUUGUUAUGCCGUUGUUUGCUGGAUUAAAGAGCCCUGCCCUCUGCUAUCAGAAAUCUGCUCCCAAUAAAGCAUCUAACCCCUAUUCAUCAAAAUGGUACAAAGCUUCAAGUCCUGUUCAGCUCAUCACUAGAUCAAGACACCCAUGUUGUAUCAGUGGUGAAAUAUGCCUUUUUCUACCUUCAGCUGACAAGUAGAACUUCACACCUAGCUCCCAGAUGAUGAUCUGGCCAAAAUGAUCCAUAUAUUCAUCACCUCCAGACUGAAAUGCUGCAACACGCUAUGAGGCAGAUAUAGUAUGUUAACACUGCUUUCAUUAGCAAAUGAAAUUUUUCCAGAAUAGCUGUUGAGAGCUUUAAAACUCCUUUGCCAUCUAAUGCUGCCAUUCCAUCUGGGAAAGUCCAAGUUACUUUAUGUAUAACUUUGUCUGGGAAUAGUAUUCCAUCAAUUACAAGCCCUGAUACCAGACAGUUCUAUCAGUCUUUCUCCAUUCUGAUUUUAGAAACCAAGGUCAUGCUUGCCCAUUGCUUUAUCCAUUCUGUCAUCAUAAUCCCCAAUGUUGGCACUGAAGUCCACCAUUAUUAAGCAAAUGUCAUGCUUGGAAAUAUUGUCAGAGUUUGUUGGCAACUGUAGAAAUGAUCACUGAUCUUACUGUGGUUGUCUGUUGGUGCAUAACACUGUAUAAUUGUCAUACUCGUAUCAUGUUUGAAACAAUCUGCGGUUAAUCAGCUCCCACUGUCUAUAUGAUUUUUUUCUUUGGAAGUCAUAGUUAAUGCUAUUCCUGAGCACUAACCAUCUUGCCUUCCCAAUUACACUGACCUUUUUUUAAAAAAUGCUUUUUAUCAGCUCUUGGCCAUUGACAUUAAUGUACUUCAAGAAUUUCAAAAUUGUGUGUCUCCAUUUCUUUCAUCACCUGCACAGCUCUUGUUGUUUCAUCCAUUGUUGAAAUGUUCCAGAAAACUACUUUCAGUUUAUUUUGCCUUUAGUAUAACAAAGGUUUUACCAAUGUGUUAUAAUCAAGUUUUUCCAUAGAUUCAAAUAUUUUCUCUGAUAAGGUUAAAUCUUCUGUUUUAGAUGUGACAGUGUAUGUGAAUUUCAAAAGGGAUAAUUGGAAAUGAAGUGAGAGUGCUGAAGAGGGACAAUUCAGAGCUCACCACACAGGAACAGUGGAACAGAGGUGGUUUGCAUCUCUCCUAUACUGGGACUGCAGGUUAGGGUAGCCCAGUGGUUCUCAACCAGGGGUAUGCGUACCCCAGGGGGUACACAGAGGUCUUCCAGGAGAUACAUCAAAUCUUCUAGAUGUUUGCCUAGUUUUACAACAGGUUACAUAAAA